AUGCAAGUCGAACGGUAACAGGAAACAGCUUGCUGUUUCGCUGACGAGUGGCGGACGGGUGAGUAAUGUCUGGGAAACUGCCUGAUGGAGGGGGAUAACUACUGGAAACGGUAGCUAAUACCGCAUAACGUCGCAAGACCAAAGAGGGGGACCUUCGGGCCUCUUGCCAUCGGAUGUGCCCAGAUGGGAUUAGCUAGUAGGUGGGGUAACGGCUCACCUAGGCGACGAUCCCUAGCUGGUCUGAGAGGAUGACCAGUCACACUGGAACUGAGACACGGUCCAGACUCCUACGGGAGGCAGCAGUGGGGAAUAUUGCACAAUGGGCGCAAGCCUGAUGCAGCCAUGCCGCGUGUAUGAAGAAGGCCUUCGGGUUGUAAAGUACUUUCAGCGGGGAGGAAGGGAGUAAAGUUAAUACCUUUGCUCAUUGACGUUACCCGCAGAAGAAGCACCGGCUAACUCCGUGCCAGCAGCCGCGGUAAUACGGAGGGUGCAAGCGUUAAUCGGAAUUACUGGGCGUAAAGCGCACGCAGGCGGUUUGUUAAGUCAGAUGUGAAAUCCCCGGGCUCAACCUGGGAACUGCAUCUGAUACUGGCAAGCUUGAGUC
rnacentral:rRNA from 1 species